rnacentral:rRNA from 1 species
CCUACGGGAGGCAGCAGUGAGGAAUAUUGGUCAAUGGCCGGAAGGCUGAACCAGCCAAGCCGCGUGAAGGACGAAGGUGCCAAGCAUUGUAAACUUCUUUUGUCAAGGGACAAAAUCAGGCUCGAGAGCCUGACCGAGGGUACUUGAAGAAAAAGCAUCGGCUAACUCCGUGCCAGCAGCCGCGGUAAUACGGAGGAUGCGAGCGUUAUCCGGAUUUAUUGGGUUUAAAGGGUGCGUAGGCGGCCUGCUAAGUCUGGAGUGAAAGGUACCGGCUCAACCGGUACAGGCUCUGGAAACUGGCGGGC